AGAUCUGGAGAGUCAGAAAGGAAUUGCUGUGCAUCCUAGAGGCUCGGAAACAACAGCAGAUGAGACCACAAGUACUAAGGCAUUAGAUGCGGGGCCAAUGCAAGUUGAUGAAUCAAGUGUAAAGAUUGAACGUGAAAAUGUGAACAAGACAUCUGAUUCUGUGUUCUACAAAUCAUAAGUCCAAAUCAGCUAAUUUGUUUGUGCAAGCAUUGUUGAGUGGUUCAUGGAUUAAUCUUAAGCUUUUACAAGCCAUGAGAACCUAAAUGAUUUUGUUUUCAAUAUGGAUUAUUUAAAGGAACAAGUUGUAUUCACAUUGUGAAAACUCGAGUGAAUCUUAAGAACUAAUUUAAUAGCUUUAGGUUCUCACAGGGAACUUUAAUUGAUCUUUCAGGUUAAGGGUGUUAUGAUGCCUUUCUUACCAUUAUUGCUGUUCAGAGCUUGUGCAGAAACUGUUGUGUACUGCUGUUGGCAUUCACUUGGACAAUUUAUAUGGGGUAUCUUAACAGCAUCCUUUCGUUAAGGGCGAUGCAAGAACUAGCUCCGUUGACAUGAACUAAAGCAGCAUCACACUGACAUACCAGGACAUCGAUAAAAUGUAGACAAGGCAAGCUGAGCGAACCACAAGAGGUACAUGAAGUGCAG
rnacentral:misc_RNA from 1 species